UCACCCUCUGGUUGUUCAUUUUCCCUUGAAUGCUAUGUGUUUCUUGUCAUGAUAGUAGUUACUGCUUUAAAUUAUUUCUUCAGCAAGCAUCAACGGAACCCUCUCCAGUCAUAACGUUGAUAACCUUUUGAAGGCUAAGAAAGAGAUCAUUCCAUAUUUGUUGAUCUUGGCGCUGAAUGAUGCUAUGGCAUAUGCUAAGACCACAAAGUCAGGAGGUCCAAAUGGAUGGAUCAGGCUGGGGCAAUACCUCUUGGCGCUGAUCGGUAAGGCUGCAGCUGCCCCCUCAGCCAGCCUCUACAGUCCAUUGUAUUGUAUCUGUAUGCGUCAGGCUGCGGCAGCCGAUCGACCCCUUUGUUUCUACAUAUUUGUGUUACAAUUGCAAAUAUGCUCUUCAUAUUAAACUCUAACAAGUUGCCCCUUGUCUUCCUUUAAUCUUUACCGUUAAAUAAAAAAAAUGCAGAAAUAAGUAGACCUGAAAAUAGUAGACUUUCUCCUACGCUGGUUUUGUCUGGUCUUUGGAAGUGACAGAGAGCCAGCAGAGCGGUGGGAUGCAAGUGAGCUAUUCUUACUGAGGCUUUUAUGACUAAAAUAUUUUGAUUUCUGCUUCAAAAUGUUCCCAUAUGAGUGCACUAAUCAACUUUCGUACUGUGCUGAAUUUUUUUUAUCAAUCUACAUUAACAUCUCAAUAGGUAAACCAUCUGGUAAAUCAGCAAUAAGGGAAGGCUUGAGAUUUUCUAAAUGAAUUGCAUUUUUAUGUGUGCUAUUGAAGUGGAUAAAUAUAGCUGGAACAAAUGCAGCCAUGCAGGUCCUUUGGCCUUUGCUGUCCCAUCCUUCUUAUUGAUGUUUAUCUGCACAUGUUAAUAUUGUAAAAAAAUAGUGAUUGUUAAGGUGCAUCUUCAGAGAUAAAAUCUGUUCCUAUACUGGUGUGAA